CUCUGGAACAUUGUAUCUCUCUGAGAUACUACACACACACAUCAUACUCCAGCCAGAAAUGGCUCUUUUAUUUUUUUAACCUGGAUGACUUUCCUGAAAGUGAUUCCAUCCUAAUAUACCAUGUGUUUAUUGCGGUCCUGAUACUCCCAGCCAGGGCCUGGAAAGCCACAGACAUUAUCUCCAAACAAACCCUCUUGCAACAAACAACCUUGGACUAUGAAAACAUAGCCAGGAAACAAUUCAAG